UGAAUUGAGUUCAUCCAAUGAGUUAUUUGUUUGAGUGAUACACUAAAAAAACUGAGUCAUUGGAUUGGAUUCCUUCUAUUAAAUAUAUGUCGUCCCAACUAAAUUACAUUCUAUUAUCUUGCAUUGAUGUUUUUUAUUUGAGUUGGGGCUACAUAUAUUUAUUAGAUGGAAAUCCUGCACAUAAUUGAAUUGAGUUCAUCCACCAUUUUUUGAGCAAAAUUAUAAUUU